CCGUAGGGGAACUGCGGUUGGAUCACCUCCUUACCUAGAUAGAUGGAAUGUGAGUGUUCACACAGAUUGUCUGAUGAAAUAGCGCGUAAAGCCAAUCUAAGAUUGACUGAAGAGCUUGAAGUCCCCUUCGUCUAGAGGCCUAGGACUUCGCCCUUUCACGGCGGUAACAGGGGUUCGAAUCCCCUAGGGGACGCCACUUUAGUGAUUUAGAAAGGCUGUGCAUCACUAUUUUAGUGUUGUGCACCGUUCAUGCUUUACGCAAUAAUGAUUAAGCCAAUUCAAUGAGUUGGUUUAACAAUUAUGCUCUUUAACAAUUUGGAACAAGCUGUAAAUUGAAACACACAUUAUUGAAAAAUAGUGUGGAGAACUCUCAAAACUCCAAUCAGUUGGGUUUUUGUUGUCAUGAUGAAAGCGUUAUGAGCGAGCAGUCAGCCAUUCGAGACGGCCAGCGCACAGCGAGCACUGCCCAAUAAAGAAUGGGUGGAGAGGUGCCCAUAACCUAGCAAAAAGGCAGCGUAAGACACCUUCGGGUUGUGAGGUUAAGCGAAUUAAGCGUACACGGUGGAUGCCUAGGCAGUCAGAGGCGAUGAAGGACGUGCUAAUCUGCGAAAAGCGUCGGUAAGCUGAUAUGAAGCGUACUAGCCGGCGAUGUCCGAAUGGGGAAACCCAGUGCAUUGAUGCACUAUCGUUUGAUGAAUCCAUAGUCAAAUGAGGCGAACCGGGGGAACUGAAACAUCUCAGUAUCCCGAGGAAAAGAAAUCAACCGAGAUUCCCCCAGUAGCGGCGAGCGAACGGGGAGCAGCCCAGAGUCAACAUCAAAAUUUACCGCAGGAGAAGGGUCUGGAAAGGCCCGCAAUAAAGGGUGAUAGCCCCGUAUCUGAAGCGGUAAGUGUUGUGAGCUCGAAGAGUAGGGCGGGACACGUGUUAUCCUGUCUGAAUAUGGGGGGACCAUCCUCCAAA
rnacentral:misc_RNA from 1 species